GACGAACGCUGGCGGCGUGCCUAACACAUGCAAGUCGAACGGAGAUACGAUUUCAGUUGUAUCUUAGUGGCGAACGGGUGAGUAACGCGUGAACAACCUGACUCUUAGAGGGGGAUAACACUCGGAAACGGGUGCUAAUACCGCAUAAGACCACGACCCGGCAUCGGGAUGAGGUCAAAGGAGCAAUCCGCUGAGAGAGGGGUUCGCGUCCCAUUAGAUAGAUGGCGGGGUAACGGCCCACCAUGUCAACGAUGGGUAGCCGAGCUGAGAGGCUGAUCGGCCACACUGGAACUGAGACACGGUCCAGACUCCUACGGGAGGCAGCAGUGGGGAAUAUUGGGCAAUGGGCGCAAGCCUGACCCAGCAACGCCGCGUGAGGGAAGAAGGCUUUCGGGUUGUAACCCUCUGUCCUUGGUGACGAAACGAAUGACGGUAGCCAAGGAGGAAGCCCCGGCUAACUACGUGCCAGCCGCCGCGGUAA
rnacentral:rRNA from 1 species